rnacentral:rRNA from 1 species
UCGAGCGCACCUUCGGGUGAGCGGCGGACGGGUUAGUAACGCGUGGGAACAUACCCUUUGGUACGGAAUAGCCUCUGGAAACGGAGAGUAAUACCGUAUGAGCCCUUCGGGGGAAAGAUUUAUCGCCAAAGGAUUGGCCCGCGUUAGAUUAGGUAGUUGGUGGGGUAAUGGCCUACCAAGCCUACGAUCUAUAGCUGGUUUUAGAGGAUGAUCAGCAACACUGGGACUGAGACACGGCCCAGACUCCUACGGGAGGCAGCAGUGGGGAAUCUUGGACAAUGGGGGCAACCCUGAUCCAGCCAUGCCGCGUGAGUGAUGAAGGCCUUAGGGUCGUAAAGCUCUUUCGCCUGUGAAGAUAAUGACGGUAGCAGGUAAAGAAACCCCGGCUAACUCCGUGCCAUUAGUCGCGGUAAUACGGAGGGGGUUAGCGUUGUUCGGAAUUACUGGGCGUAAAGCGCACGUAGGCGGACUGGAAAGUUGGGGGUGAAAUCCCAGGGCUCAACCCUGGAACUGCCUCCAAAACUAUCAGUCUAGAGUUCGAGAGAGGUGAGUGGAAUUCCGAGUGUAGAGGUGAAAUUCGUAGAUAUUCGGAGGAACACCAGUGGCGAAGGCGGCUCACUGGCUCGAUACUGACGCUGAGGUGCGAAAGUGUGGGGAGCAAACAGGAUUAGAUACCCUGGUAGUCCACACC